rnacentral:rRNA from 1 species
AUGACGCUGGCGGCAGGCCUAUCACAUGCAGUCGAGCGGUAACAGGGGAAGCUUGCUUCUCGCUGACGAGCGGCGGACGGGUGAGUAAUGUAUGGGGAUCUGCCCGAUAGAGGGGGAUAACUACUGGAAACGGUGGCUAAUACCGCAUAAUCUCUUAGGAGCAAAGCAGGGGACCUUCGGGCCUUGCGCUGUCGGAUGAACCCAUAUGGGAUUAGCUAGUAGGUAAGGUAAUGGCUUACCUAAGGCGACGAUCCCUAGCUGGUCUGAGAGGAUGAUCAGCCACACUGGGACUGAGACAAGGGCCCAGACUCCUACGGGAGGCAGCAGUGGGGAAUAUUGCACAAUGGGCGCAAGCCUGAUGCAGCCAUGCCGCGUGUAUGAAGAAGGCCCUAGGGUUGUAAAGUACUUUCAGUCGGGAGGAAGGCGUUGAUGUUAAUACCAUCAACGAUUGACGUUACCGACAGAAGAAGCACCGGCUAACUCCGUGCCAGCCGCCGCGGGAA